CGUGUCUCUGUGUGCGCGCGCACGUGCGUUUGCAGGACAGACGCCCUAGUCUGGCAGCGGACGUUAGUCAAUGACUGGCGAGCACGGCGCAUGCGCGUAAGACAGAUCGCGCAAAGGCAAUCGAUCGGCGAGACAGUUUUGUCAGCAGCCGCCCAUGGCGUCUCGCACACGCUGGCUGCAUUGAUUUCACCUCCUCACUCACUCGGACUCGCUUUCCACUGCCAGCCUUUUCCCCAACCACCACCAUCACCACCCGGGCACCGUACUCAUCUUCUAGCACUUGCUGAUCCUCUGCCUGUCUCCAUUUCCGCCAGCGUGUGCGCGCGCAUACUUGAAACGCGUUCACUUUUCCCUCCUACACACCACCUUUUUUUUCUUUGCUUCGCUCUAUUCAGUCUAAAGGAAAGAAGAAAGAAAGAGAGAGGGGGGAAAAAUAAAGAAAUCAAGGAUCGGAGAGGGCUGGAUGGAUGGGUAGGAUGGGCGGUGACGCCAUCUCGCGACGUGAACUGCCCGCCUGCCGGCCUCGCAGCUGUUCAAACGGCUGUCACGUGGGCAGGGGGAGGUAAGCAAGCAGCAUGACUCGGCGUCAACGUGAAGAUGACAAGCUUUGCGUUGCGGCGCCUGUCCCCUCCCUCCUUACCUCCCUACCUCCACUCCCCCUUCUCUCUUUUCUGCUCGAUGAAGACCGAUAAGAAGCUCGACGAGUGGUGGUCGUUGGUGCUGGUGGUGGUGGCGGCGGCGGUGUGGUAGUUCCAGCUGCUGCUGUUGACGUUGACAGUGAUGGUGGUGUUGCGGAGACGUCUGCGGAAGGGUGAUGCCCUUGAAACAGUGGGGGGGGGACAAGAUGAUGGCGCCAACUAAAGCAUCUCCCUUGCUGAUCAAGCCGAUACCAGAGGACUAGCAAGUGCUGAGCUCAUUGGUCAGAAUAAAACUCACAGCCUGGAGCCUAGCGUGAUAAACUGUACAGUGAGGUAUCAUGCGCUCUCAGGCGAGGAAAUAAGUAUGACGUCACUUCCGGCGAUCGCGAAGGAACUGGUGGUCGCUGUGGUAGUGUUGUUGGCGGUGGUGAUAUCGUCAGGCGACAGCGACGUGUGCAGCCUCCGACCGGUGUUCAACUCCAGGGAGCACUCGGCGACGUUCCUUGCAAAACCCUUCUGGAACAGAGACGACAUUACUUCAGGCGAAGAGGAGACAAUUUUCAUCCGAAAGGGAAACUGUCCAGUGCGCGUGCGCGGACGAGAGAUAGAUGAAGACGAGGCCAAGACUGGUUCUUAUUCUCAGUCGCUGCGCAACGGCAGUGAGAAGGACAGCAGCGAGAAGAAACAUGGCGGCGGGGGUGCGCAGCGGAAGCUGAAGGGGUCUAAACGAAAGAGGAAGCAAGAGAAGAGGAAAAGGUUCCGAAAGAAGAAGAAAAAGUCUUAAACAAGGUGAGCCCCCGUCACGCUAUCGCUGCUCAGUUGCCCAACAGAACGAGUCCCUCGGCCACUGAAUGAGCCACUUCCUCCACACGAGGACCAAAAGACCAGAGAAAGGUCUCACUGGGAGGGUUGUCGUCUUCUACACAACAAUUUCUCGGCUGCCGGACGCACACAGGGAACUGAACGACGAACAAAAUAGCUUCUUUCAUCCUGUGGAGGAGUUGGGGCAACACGAGUUUCGUUGGCGGCGUUGAUGACGACUUCUCUUCAUUCUUGAGGAGAGGAAAGUCUACAAGGUUUUCGAACUCAGCUGACUAGAAAAAU